rnacentral:rRNA from 1 species
GAUGAACGCUAGCGGGAGGCUUAACACAUGCAAGUCGUGGGGCAGCACGGUGUAGCAAUACACUGGUGGCGACCGGCGCACGGGUGAGUAACGCGUAUGCAACCUGCCCUGUACAGGGGGAUAGCCCGGAGAAAUUCGGAUUAAUACCCCAUAAAGAUAUUGAGAGGCAUCUUUUAAUAUUUAAAGCUUCGGCGGUACGGGAUGGGCAUGCGUGACAUUAGCUAGUUGGUAGGGUAACGGCCUACCAAGGCUUCGAUGUCUAGGGGUCCUGAGAGGGUGAUCCCCCACACUGGUACUGAGACACGGACCAGACUCCUACGGGAGGCAGCAGUGAGGAAUAUUGGUCAAUGGGCUACAGCCUGAACCAGCCAUCCCGCGUGAAGGAAGAAGGCGCUAUGCGUUGUAAACUUCUUUUCCAGAGGAAUAAAAUUUUGUACGAGUACGGAACUGAAGGUACUCUGGGAAUAAGCAUCGGCUAACUCCGUGCCAGCAGCCGCAGUAACAC